CAUUCACGGAGAGUUUGAUCCUGGCUCAGGACGAACGCUGGCGGCGUGCUUAACACAUGCAAGUCGAACGAUGAACCGCUUUCGGGCGGGGAUUAGUGGCGAACGGGUGAGUAACACGUGGGCAAUCUGCCCUGCACUCUGGGACAAGCCCUGGAAACGGGGUCUAAUACCGGAUAUGACUGUCCAUCGCAUGGUGGAUGGUGUAAAGCUCCGGCGGUGCAGGAUGAGCCCGCGGCCUAUCAGCUUGUUGGUGAGGUAGUGGCUCACCAAGGCGACGACGGGUAGCCGGCCUGAGAGGGCGACCGGCCACACUGGGACUGAGACACGGCCCAGACUCCUACGGGAGGCAGCAGUGGGGAAUAUUGCACAAUGGGCGAAAGCCUGAUGCAGCGACGCCGCGUGAGGGAUGACGGCCUUCGGGUUGUAAACCUCUUUCAGCAGGGAAGAAGCGAAAGUGACGGUACCUGCAGA
rnacentral:rRNA from 1 species